UUGUGCUUUCAGCUUCUUUACAGUGCUGCCUUGUUGCGUUCAUGUCAAGCAGCAUUGUACAGGGCUAUGAAAGCACAG
rnacentral:pre_miRNA from 1 species